AAGUCGUAACAAGGUUUCCGUAGGUGAACCUGCGGAAGGAUCAUUACCGAGUUAGGGUCUUUAUGGCCUGAUCUCCAACCCUUUGUUUAUUAUACCGUGUUGCUUUGGCAGGCCUGCCUUUCGGGGCUGCCGGGGGCACUACUGCCCCUGAUUCGUGCCUGCCAGGAGCCUUCCCUAAAUUCUGUGUUAAAACUAUCGUGUCUGAGUCCUAAUAUCAAAUUAUAAAAAACUUUCAACAACGGAUCUCUUGGUUCUG
rnacentral:misc_RNA from 1 species